rnacentral:rRNA from 1 species
GUGGGGAAUUUUGGACAAUGGGCGAAAGCCUGAUCCAGCCAUGCCGCGUGCAGGAUGAAGGCCUUCGGGUUGUAAACUGCUUUUGUACGGAACGAAACGGUCCGGGUUAAUACCCUGGGCUAAUGACGGUACCGUAAGAAUAAGCACCGGCUAACUACGUGCCAGCAGCCGCGGUAAUACGUAGGGUGCAAGCGUUAAUCGGAAUUACUGGGCGUAAAGCGUGCGCAGGCGGUUUUGUAAGACAGGCGUGAAAUCCCCGGGCUCAACCUGGGAAUUGCGCUUGUGACUGCAAGGCUGGAGUGCGGCAGAGGGGGAUGGAAUUCCGCGUGUAGCAGUGAAAUGCGUAGAUAUGCGGAGGAACACCGAUGGCGAAGGCAAUCCCCUGGACCUGUACUGACGCUCAUGCACGAAAGCGUGGGGAGCAAACAGGAUUAGAUACCCGGGUAGUCC